AGCAAGCAGAGUCAAGAGAGUAAAUUUGUUUACACAACUUUUAUGUGCUUUUGAAAUUAUUCUCGGAUUUUAUUUUUUGUUUAUGAAUCAUGACAGGUUUUUUAGAAUCAAAAUUGUGUUGCGUGAACAUGACAAAUAUCUCUCAAAAAGAUAAAGAAGAACGAGGACGAGGGAGAAUGGGGAGAUCCGCAGUAAUUGACAAAGAGUCUUUCCCUUUGUUUUUCCGUUGUCUUAUGGUGGUUGGUGGGUCUAAUUCAUGAGGGUUUAUAACUCAAAUAUCAACUACAUUUCCAGCCACCUACAAAUUUAAAGUGUGAUUGGCUUGCAGAAGAUGUGU